AGGUAUCAGAAGUGCGAAUGCUGACAUGAGUAACGACAAUGCGGGUGAAAAACCCGCACGCCGGAAGACCAAGGGUUCCUGCGCAACGCUAAUCGGCGCAGGGUUAGCCGGCCCCUAAGACGAGCCCGAAGGGGGUAGUCGAUGGGAACACGGUUAAUAUUCCGUGACCUGGUGGAAUGUGACGGAUCUCGUGUGUUGUCUGAUCUUAUUGGAUUGAUCAGGCUUCGAAGAGGUUCCAGGAAAUAGCUCCACCAUAUAGACCGUACCCGAAACCGACACAGGUGGUCAGGUAGAGUAUACCAAGGCGCUUGAGAGAAGUAUCCUGAAGGAACUCGGCAAAUUGCCUCCGUACCUUCGGAAGAAGGAGGCCCCAUAUCGACGCAAGUCUUUGUGGGGGGCACAGGCCAGGGGGUAGCGACUGUUUAGCAAAAACACAGCACUCUGCUAAGUCGGCUUCAAGACGACGUAUAGGGUGUGACGCCUGCCCGGUGCUCGAAGGUUAAGAGGAGGAGUGCAAGCUCCGAAUUGAAGCCCGAGUAAACGGCGGCCGUAACAAUAACGGUCCUAAGGUAG
rnacentral:rRNA from 1 species